rnacentral:rRNA from 1 species
GUCUUUUUGAAAAUAAUUUAAAGUCUAAUCUGCCCACUGAUAUUAUAUUGAAGGGCUGCAGUAUUUUGACUGUACAAAGGUAGCAUAAUCAUUAGUCUCUUAAUUGGUGACUUGUAUGAAGGAUUUGAUGAAAUAUAAACUGUCUCAUUUUAAUUUAUAGAAUUUAAUUUUUUAGUUAAAAAGCUAAAAUUUAAUUAAAAGACGAGAAGACCCUAUAGAGUUUAAUAAUUUAGUUAAUUAUUAUUUUAUAUAAAUAUUUUUUUAUUAAUUAAUUAAAUUAUUUUGUUGGGGUGAUAGAAAAAUUGAAUUAACUUUUUAUAUAAAUUAACAUUAAUUUAUGAAUAAAUGAUCCGUAAUUUACGAUUAUAAGAAAAAAUUACCUUAGGGAUAACAGCGUAAUUUUUUUUUUUAGUUCAAAUAAGAAAAAGAGUUUGCGACCUCGAUGUUGGAUUAAGAUAAAAUUUAAAUGCAAAAGUUUAAAAUUUUUGAUCUGUUCGAUCAUUAAAAUCUUACA